UCUUAUAGAUGAGCAAAGAAAGUGGUUUCUUGAGUUGGAAACUACUCCUGCUGAAGAAACCUUGAGGA
rnacentral:pre_miRNA from 1 species